CCUAAUGUUCUAACUUAAUUCCCAAAGUCCUUAUAAAUAGGCCUUUCCAACAUGCUUACUUCAACAUUUAAAAACAAAAUGGCAUCCUACAAGACUCUCAUUUUAACCAUCUUGAUCAUUUGCUUUGCUUCACGCAUGGUUGCCGUUUCAGGAGCAAACGGAAAAUUAUGCUUCAUAUCGAAUUUUUGUCCAACUGCACCAGAACAGUGUGACCAUUUUUGUAAAGUAUCAUUGGGAAAACCAAAAGGUGGCUCGUGUUUAGGGGGUGAAUGUUGUUGCAAUUUGUAAAGUUUUAAUAUAAAAUAAACAAUUUCUUUGUUUCUUUGAAUACAUCUAUCUACAAACACUCCAUCUGAAAUUUACAUAAAUUUUUGUUGAAGUAUCAA